rnacentral:snoRNA from 1 species
UGAGCUCGUAAGGUCUGAAUAGGUGAUGACUAACCGGGCUUACGACGUCUGGUGACAAUCAUGAGAUGGUUAAAAAAG